AGUGGAUGGACUGCCAAAGCAUAAUUUAGGAGGCAUCAGAUCAGCUUCUUGGUGGAUUCUUCGUGAGCAUAUCACUGCCCCUUCACUUCUUGCAGCUGUUGAGGUCUCGGUGGGAGGAUUAGGGAUCAAUGGAGUGGAGGCUCUUGGUGGCUGUUGGCAAGGGAUUAUGGUGCUGUGAGCUGUUGAAUAUGCUGCCAAACCUCAAGG